rnacentral:rRNA from 1 species
UACAGAGGGGGCAAGCGUUGUUCGGAAUUACUGGGCGUAAAGGGCGCGUAGGCGGCCGCCUAAGUCAGACGUGAAAUCCCUCGGCUCAACCGGGGAACUGCGUCUGAUACUGGGUGGCUCGAAUCCGGGAGAGGGAUGCGGAAUUCCAGGUGUAGCGGUGAAAUGCGUAGAUAUCUGGAGGAACACCGGUGGCGAAGGCGGCAUCCUGGACCGGCAUUGACGCUGAGGCGCGAAAGCCAGGGGAGCAAACGGG